UACGGAGGAUGCAAGCGUUAUCCGGAAUGAUUGGGCGUAAAGCGUCCGCAGGUGGCCAUGUAAGUCUGCUGUCAAAGCGUCUGGCUCAACCAGAUAAAGGCAGUGGAAACUACAUAGCUAGAGUAAGGUAGGGGUAGAGGGAAUUCCCGGUGUAGCGGUGAAAUGCGUAGAGAUCAGGAAGAACACCGGUGGCGAAAGCGCUCUGCUGGACCUAAACUGACACUGAGGGACGAAAGCUAGGGGAGCGAAUGGG
rnacentral:rRNA from 1 species